rnacentral:rRNA from 1 species
AAACCAGCACCUCAAGUGGUCAGGAUGAUUAUUGGGCCUAAAGCAUCCGUAGCCUGCUUUGUAAGUUUCCGGUUAAAUCCAUUAGCUCAACUGAUUGGCCGCCGGAAAAACUGCAAAGCUAGGGAGUGGGAGAGGUAGACGGUACUCGGUAGGAAGGGGUAAAAUCCUUUGAUCUAUUGAUGACCACCAGUGGCGAAGGCGGUCUACCAGAACACGUUCGACGGUGAGGGAUGAAAGCUGGGGGAGCAAACCGGAUUAGAAACCCCAGUAGUCC